rnacentral:rRNA from 1 species
AUUGAACGCUGGCGGCAUGCCUUACACAUGCAAGUCGAACGGCAGCAUGGGUGCUUGCACCUGAUGGCGAGUGGCGAACGGGUGAGUAAUGCAUCGGAACGUACCCGGAAGUGGGGGAUAACGUAGCGAAAGUUACGCUAAUACCGCAUAUUCUGUGAGCAGGAAAGUGGGGGAUCGCAAGACCUCGCGCUUCCGGAGCGGCCGAUGUCGGAUUAGCUAGUUGGCGGGGUAAAGGCCCACCAAGGCAACGAUCCGUAGCGGGUCGGGAAGGAUGCUGCGCCACACUGGGACUGGGACACGGCCCAGACUCCUACGGGAGGCAGCAGUGGGGAAUUUGGGACGAUGGGGGCAACCCUGAUCCAGCCAUGCCGCGGGAGUGAAGAAGGCCUUCGGGUUGUAAAGCUCUUUCGGCCGGGAAGAAAUCGCACAGGUUAAUACCUUGUGUGGAUGACGGUACCGGAAUAAGAAGCACCGGCUAACUACGUGCCAGCAGCCGCAGUAAAAC